GCACCGCAGAUGAGACCAAACCAGGUCGAAACAGCUGUCCAGUGC
rnacentral:hammerhead_ribozyme from 1 species